UGUUAGAAUAUGCACAACGGAAGCUAUAUUCAGGAUCACAAAUCUUACAUAUAGACUAAACAAUAUAACAUAAACGAAUUUAGAAGAACACUAACCUGUUGAAACUUCUACAAAAGUCGUCCAGAUGCCAAGGAUCCAGAGCUACGAUCUUCUCCUAUUUCCUGAUUGACUGUUACUACCAAGUUACUUGUGUGGGCAAGUAUACUUGUUUUUCAAAGAUAAUUUCUUUCAUGCCACAUCCAGCC
rnacentral:lncRNA from 1 species